GCCCAGACCUACAGCUAAGGUCCCAAAGUACGUGUUAAGUGGAAAAGGAUGUGGGGAUUCUAAGACAACUAGGACGUUGGCUUAGAAGCAGCCAUUCAUUGAAAGAGUGCGUAAUAGCUCACUAGUCGAGAGUCCCUGCGCCGAAAAUGUCCGGGGCUGAAACACGACACCGAAGCUUAGGAAUGUGUAAACAUUGGUAGAGGAGCAUUGUUAGCGGGAUGAAGCCAUACCGUAAGGAGUGGUGGACUGCUAAGAAGAGAGAAUGCCGGAAUGAGUAGCGAGAUGAAGGUGAGAAUCCUUCAGGCCGAAUAUCUAAGGUUUCCAGAGUAAAGCUGAUCUGCUCUGGGUAAGUCGGGACCUAAGGCGAGGUCGAAAGACGUAGUCGAUGGAUAACAGGUUGAAAUUCCUGUACUAUCCUGUAACAGAACUGUGGGGACGCAGACAGAGAGCACAAGCCGGGAAUGGAAAGACCGGUGCAAGCGAGGUAGGAGUACAUCAGGCAAAUCCGGUGUGCAAUCCGAAGACGUGAUGCGGAUCGAAAAGAAGUAGAGAAGUGUGUGAGCUGGCUGCCAAGAAAAGCCGCUAUUGUUUACAGGAUACCCGUACCGUAAACCGACACAGGUGGAUGAGGAGAGAAUCCUAAGGCCGACGGGAGAAGCAUUGUUAAGGAACUCGGCAAAAUGACUCCGUAACUUCGGGAGAAGGAGUGCCAUGUAAAAGUGGCCGCAGAGAAUUGGCCCAAGCAACUGUUUAGCAAAAACACAGGUCUAUGCAAAACCGUAAGGUGAAGUAUAUGGGCUGACGCCUGCCCGGUGCUGGAAGGUUAAGGGGAGAGGUUAGCGCAAGCGAAGCUUUGAACUUAAGCCCCAGUAAACGGCGGCCGUAACUAUAACGGUCCUAAGGUAGCGAAAUUCCUUGUCGGGUAAGUUCCGACCCGCACGAAAGGCGUAAUGAUUUGGGCACUGUCUCAACGAUACACCCGGUGAAAUUGAAAUACCAGUGAAGAUGCUGGUUACCUGCGCCAGGACGGAAAGACCCCAUGGAGCUUUACUCCAGUUUGAUACUGGGAUUCGGCAUGGUAUGUACAGGAUAGGUGGGAGACUGAGAAGGUAUGACGUCAGUUGUACCGGAGUCGCUGUUGGGAUACCACCCUUACCAUGUUGGAUUUCUAACCUGUGGCCGUAAGCCGGUCAGGGGACAAUGUCAGGCGGGGAGUUUGACUGGGGCGGUCGCCUCCGAAAGGGUAUCGGAGGCGCUCAAAGGUUCCCUCAGAAUGGUUGGAAACCAUUCGAAGAGUGCAAAGGCAGAAGGGAGCUUGACUGUGACACCGACGGGUGGAGCAGGUACGAAAGUAGGACUUAGUGAUCCGGUGGUAUAA
rnacentral:rRNA from 1 species